rnacentral:tRNA from 3 species
GCUAGAGUAGUUCAGUGGUAGAAUAAUUGCCUCGUAAUCAAUAGGUCGUGGGUUCAAUUCCCAUCUCUAGCUCCA